rnacentral:rRNA from 1 species
CCCUUAGAUGUUCUGGGCCGCACGCGCGCUACACUGAUACGCUCAACGAGCUCCUUGGCCGAAAGGUCCGGGUAAUCUUUGAAAUCGUAUCGUGAUGGGGAUAGAACAUUGCAAUUUUUGUUCUUCGACGAGGAAUGCCUAGUAAGCGCGAGUCAUCAUCUCGCGUUGAUUACGUCCCUGCCCUUUGUACACACCGCCCGUCGCUCCUACCGAUUGAAUGGUUUAGUGAGGACUCCUGAUUGGCGCCGCCGCCCCGGCAACGGAGCAGCGGACUGCCGAAAAGUUGUUCAAACUUGAUCAUUUAGAGGAAGUAAAAGUCGUAACA